AAGGAGCUUGCUCCUGGAUUCAGCGGCGGACGGGUGAGUAAUGCCUAGGAAUCUGCCUGGUAGUGGGGGACAACGUUUCGAAAGGAACGCUAAUACCGCAUACGUCCUACGGGAGAAAGCAGGGGACCUUCGGGCCUUGCGCUAUCAGAUGAGCCUAGGUCGGAUUAGCUAGUUGGUGAGGUAAUGGCUCACCAAGGCGACGAUCCGUAACUGGUCUGAGAGGAUGAUCAGUCACACUGGAACUGAGACACGGUCCAGACUCCUACGGGAGGCAGCAGUGGGGAAUAUUGGACAAUGGGCGAAAGCCUGAUCCAGCCAUGCCGCGUGUGUGAAGAAGGUCUUCGGAUUGUAAAGCACUUUAAGUUGGGAGGAAGGGUUGUAGAUUAAUACUCUGCAAUUUUGACGUUACCGACAGAAUAAGCACCGGCUAACUCUGUGCCAGCAGCCGCGGUAAUACAGAGGGUGCAAGCGUUAAUCGGAAUUACUGGGCGUAAAGCGCGCGUAGGUGGUUUGUUAAGUUGGAUGUGAAAUCCCCGGGCUCAACCUGGGAACUGCAUCCAAAACUGGCAAGCUAGAGUAUGGUAGAGGGUGGUGGAAUUUCCUGUGUAGCGGUGAAAUGCGUAGAUAUAGGAAGGAACACCAGUGGCGAAGGCGACCACCUGGACUGAUACUGACACUGAGGUGCGAAAGCGUGGGGAGCAAACAGGAUUAGAUACCCUGGUAGUCCACGCCGUAAACGAUGUCAACUAGCCGUUGGGAGCCUUGAGCUCUUAGUGGCGCAGCUAACGCAUUAAGUUGACCGCCUGGGGAGUACGGCCGCAAGGUUAAAACUCAAAUGAAUUGACGGGGGCCCGCACAAGCGGUGGAGCAUGGUGGUUUAAUUCGAAGCACGCGAAGAAUCUUACCAGGUCUUG
rnacentral:rRNA from 1 species